GACGAACGCUGGCGGCGUGCCUAAUACAUGCAAGUCGAGCGCAGGAAACUGACGGAACUCUUCGGAGGGAAGGCAGUGGAAUGAGCGGCGGACAGGUGAGUAACACGUAAGGAACCUGCCUCAAGGAUUGGGAUAACUCCGAGAAAUCGGAGCUAAUACCGGAUAGUUCAACGGACCGCAUGGUCCGCUGAUGAAAGGCGCUCCGGCGUCACCUUGAGAUGGCCUUGCGGUGCAUUAGCUAGUUGGUGGGGUAACGGCCCACCAAGGCGACGAUGCAUAGCCGACCGGAGAGGGUGAUCGGCCAGACUGGGACUGAGACACGGCCCAGACUCCUACGGGAGGCAGCAGUAGGGAAUCUUCCACAAUGGACGAAAGUCUGAUGGAGCAACGCCGCGUGAGUGAUGAAGGUUUUCGGAUCGUAAAACUCUGUUGUAAGGGAAGAACACGUACGAGAGGGAAUGCUCGUACCUUGACGGUACCUUACGAGAAAGCCACGGCUAACUACGUGCCAGCCGCCGCGGUAAAAC
rnacentral:rRNA from 1 species